rnacentral:rRNA from 1 species
AUUGAACGCUGGCGGCAUGCCUUACACAUGCAAGUCGAACGGCAGCGCGGGAGCAAUCCUGGCGGCGAGUGGCGAACGGGUGAGUAAUACAUCGGAACGUGCCCAAUCGUGGGGGAUAACGCAGCGAAAGCUGUGCUAAUACCGCAUACGAUCUACGGAUGAAAGCAGGGGAUCGCAAGACCUUGCGCGAAUGGAGCGGCCGAUGGCAGAUUAGGUAGUUGGUGAGGUAAAGGCUCACCAAGCCUGCGAUCUGUAGCUGGUCUGAGAGGACGACCAGCCACACUGGGACUGAGACACGGCCCAGACUCCUACGGGAGGCAGCAGUGGGGAAUUUUGGACAAUGGGCGAAAGCCUGAUCCAGCCAUGCCGCGUGCAGGAUGAAGGCCUUCGGGUUGUAAACUGCUUUUGUACGGAACGAAACAGUCUUUUCUAAUAAAGAAGGCUAAUGACGGUACCGUAAGAAUAAGCACCGGCUAACUACGUG